rnacentral:rRNA from 1 species
GACGAACGCUGGCGGCGUGCCUAAUACAUGCAAGUCGAGCGAACAGACGAGGAGCUUGCUCCCCUGACGUUAGCGGCGGACGGGAGAGUAACACGUGGAUAACAUACCUAUAAGAAUGGGAUAACAUUGGGAAACCGGAGCUAAUACCGGAUAAUAUAUUGAACCGCAUGGUUCAAUAGUGAAAUACGGUUUUGCUGGCACUUAUAGACGGACCCGCGCCGCAUUAGCUAGUUGGUAAGGUAACGGCUUACCAAGGCAACGAUGGGUAGCCGACCUGAGCGGGUGGUCGGCCAGACUGUAACUGAGACACGGUCCAGACUCCUGGGGGAGGCAGCAGUAGAGAAUCUUCCGCGAUGGGCGAGAGCCUGACGGAGCAACGCGGCGUGAGGGAUGAAGGUCUUCGGCUCGGAAAGCGCUGUUAUUAGGAGAGAACAAAUGUGUAAGUAACUGUGCAGAUCUUGACGGUACCUGAUGAAAAAGCCACGGCUAACUACGUG